CUGGGAUCACCCCAGCUCCAUGGGAUCCCCAGCAUCCCUCAGUUUCCUGGGGUUCCCCAGCUCCAUGGGAUCCCCAGGAUCCCUCAGUUUCCUGGUGUUCCCCCAGCUCCCUG
rnacentral:lncRNA from 1 species